AGAGCGAACGCUGGCGGCAGGCUUAACACAUGCAAGUCGAGCGGGCGUAGCAAUACGUCAGCGGCAGACGGGUGAGUAACGCGUGGGAACAUACCUUUUGGUUCGGAACAACACAGGGAAACUUGUGCUAAUACCGGAUAAGCCCUUACGGGGAAAGAUUUAUCGCCGAAAGAUUGGCCCGCGUCUGAUUAGCUAGUUGGUGAGGUAACGGCUCACCAAGGCGACGAUCAGUAGCUGGUCUGAGAGGAUGAUCAGCCACAUUGGGACUGAGACACGGCCCAGACUCCUACGGGAGGCAGCAGUGGGGAAUAUUGGACAAUGGGCGCAAGCCUGAUCCAGCAAUGCCGCGUGAGUGAUGAAGGCCUUAGGGUUGUAAAGCUCUUUCGCCCGCGACGAUGAUGACGGUAGCGGGAGAAGAACGCCCGGCUAACUUCGUGCCAGCAGCCGC
rnacentral:rRNA from 1 species